UACUAGAGUAGCACUCGCAUAUCAAUAAGCGGAGGAAAAGAAACUAACAAGGAUUCCCCUAGUAACGGCGAGUGAAGCGGGAAGAGCUCAAAUUUGAAAUCUUAAAGGGUUUCCCUUUACGAAUUGUAGUUUAAAGAAGUGUUUUCUGUUGAGGUUUUGGUAAAAGUUCUUUGGAAUAGGACAUCAUAGAGGGUGAGAAUCCCGUAUUUGACCUUUACUUUCAACUUUGUGAUACACUUUCAAAGAGUCGGAUUGUUUGGGAAUGCAGUCCAAAAUGGGUGGUAAAUUUCAUCUAAAGCUAAAUAUUGGCGAGAGACCGAUAGCGAACAAGUACCGUGAGGGAAAGAUGAAAAGAACUUUGAAAAGAGAGUUAAACAGUACGUGAAAUUGUCAAAAGGGAAGCGUUUGACACCAGUGUUGUUUUUCUGAAAAUCAAUUAAAGAACUGCUUAUGCUAAGUUGUUUAGACUUUAUCAGCUAACUGUUUAGUUCUGAGCUUUUCUUUAAUGCACUUUUCAGUUAACAAGUCAACAUCAAUUUCUUUUGCUGUAAAAAAGCUUGAGGAAGGUGGCUUGAGAUUCGUCUUAAGUGUUUAUAGCCUCUUGCCUAUGCAGUCGGAGAGAUUGAGGUCUGCAGCGUAGAUCCUUCGGGGCUAAAUGCAUUUGUGCUAAGUUAUAGCAUUUUAUAGACAACUUGUUGACUAUGAUUUGUCUUGUAGCUUACUCGCUUAUGUUAUUUUACCUACGCUUAGGAUGUUGAGCGCAUGUCUCUCUCU
rnacentral:rRNA from 1 species